UAUGAAUGGCAUCACGAGGGUUAAACUGUCUCCUUUUUUUGAUCAGUGAAACUAAUCUCCCCGUGAAAAAGCGGGGAUUUUUGUAUAAGACGAGAAGACCCUAUGGAGCUUUAAACGAACUAACAUCCGCUACUACUUAAUUAACUCCUGAGCCAAAGUAAAAAAUAUAGCAAUCUGAUUAGAAGUUUUCGAUUGGGGUGAUCACGGAGUAAAAAAUAACCUCCACGUUGAACGGGUUAAAUCCCUGAGCAAAAAGCAACAGCUUUACGCACUAACAUAUUAACACCUUUGACCCAUUUCAUGAUCAACGAACCAAGUUACCCUAGGGAUAACAGCGCAAUCUACCUCGAGAGCCCAUAUCGACAGGUAGGUUUACGACCUCGAUGUUGGAUCAGGGUGUCC
rnacentral:rRNA from 1 species